GACGAACGCUGGCGGCGUGCCUAAUACAUGCAAGUAGAACGCUGAAGAGAGGCGCUUGCUCUUCUUGGAUGAGUUGCGAACGGGUGAUUAACGCGUAGGUAACCUGCCUGGUAGCGGGGGAUAACUAUUGGAAACGUUAUCUAAUACCGCAUAAAAUUGAUUAUUUCAUGAUAAUUAAUUGAAAGAUGCAACUGCAUCACUUCCAGAUGGACCUCCGUUUUAUUAGCUAGUUGGUGAGGUAACGGCUCACCAAGGCGACGAUACAUAGCCUACCUGGUAGGGAGAACGGGCACAAUGGGACUGAGACACGGCCCAGACUCCUAAGGGAGGGAGCAGGAGGGAAUCUUCGGAAAUGGGGGGAACGCUGACUGAGCAACGCCGCGGGAGUGAAGAAGGUUUUCGGAUCGUAAAGCUCUGUUGUAAGAGAAGAACGGGUGGGAGAGUGGAAAGUUCACGCUGUGACGGUAUCUUACCAGAAAGGGACGGCUAACUACGUG
rnacentral:rRNA from 1 species